ACGAUCAGUAGCCGACCUGAGAGGGUGAUCGGCCACAUUGGAACUGAGACACGGUCCAAACUCCUACGGGAGGCAGCAGUGGGGAAUAUUGCACAAUGGGCGAAAGCCUGAUGCAGCAACGCCGCGUGAGUGCUGAAGGCCUUCGGGUCGUAAAACUCUGUCCUCAAGGAAGAUAAUGACGGUACUUGAGGAGGAAGCACCGGCUAACUACGUGCCAGCAGCCGCGGUAAUACGUAGGGGGCUAGCGUUAUCCGGAUUUACUGGGCGUAAAGGGUGCGUAGGCGGUCUUUAAG
rnacentral:rRNA from 1 species